AAGGUUCUGGAAGGCCGGCGGGUGGCAUGGCGGCCGCCUGGCGGCGCCGGCGUUACGCUUUGUGCCUUUGCGGUCUUUUCCUGUUCUGUGUGGGCGUUAAACGCGCCUGAAGUGAUUUCGCGCUGGCUCUCGAUGUGCUGUUGCGGUUAGCGGUCUAGGCCAGAUAUUUCUCUGCAGGAGCUCUGGAGGUUGGAUACAGCAAAUGCAAGAAUCCUGAUCACCACCUAAUGCGUGCUGCAGGUGUGAAGCUGAAAGUCCAUUGCCUCCUUUCCAAGACAGGUGCAGUGCUGAAGAAACCAGGGUCCUCAGCUGCUCCUCGUACAUCUUGCCCUCUCGACCCUUCUCCGUCUUCAUAGUGCUGCCCUGGAUGUGUGUCCUCCUCAUAUUGUGAUGCCCACAUCACAUCAAUGCUGGCUACAGAAGACAGAGGGUGGUAGUUCCAAAAAGUCAUCUCCUACACAUAACAUCUUUGCUGCUUCAUUCUGAGUGUCAUCACUGAGCAGCGCCGAAUAGAACUUCUUCCCUGGUCAGCUGGCUGCCUUAGUUGGAGCCCUGAUGGCAGUGAUGUGAUGACGGCAGGCUUAGUAUUGCUGUUCUCUGCUCACCAGGGUAUGCUUUGGAAGAAAGCGGUUUGUUGGGGUUUUCUUUGUUUCUUGUUUGUUUUUAUUUAAUUCCUAUGAAACGUAUAUAUGCCACAUAUAUGUACAUGUUUUGAAUAUUAUCAUUUGAAGUGCCAAGAUUUUUUUUAGAAAAGUCGUUAUACUCAAUUAAGGAGGUGUAGUAAAGAUGUUAAAGAG
rnacentral:lncRNA from 7 species